rnacentral:rRNA from 1 species
CCUACGGGUGGCAGCAGUGGGGAAUAUUGCACAAUGGGGGAAACCCUGAUGCAGCGACGCCGCGUGGGUGAAGAAGCGUUUCGGCACGUAAAGCCCUAUCGGCAGGGAAGAAAAUGACUGUACCUGACCAAGAAGCCCCGGCUAACUACGUGCCAGCAGCCGCGGUAAUACGUAGGGGGCAAGCGUUAUCCGGAUUUACUGGGUGUAAAGGGGGCGCAGACGGCAAUGCAAGCCAGGAGUGAAAGCCCGGGGCUCAACCCCCGGACUGCUCUGGAAACUGGAUGGCUGGAGUGCAGGAGGGGCAGGCGGAAUUCCUAGUGUAGCGGUGAAAUGCGUAGAUAUUAGGAGGAACACCAGUGGCGAAGGCGGCCUGCUGGACUGUAACUGACGUUGAGGCUCGAAGGCGUGGGGAGCAAACAGGAUUAGAUACCCUAGUAGUC